rfam:Schistosoma margrebowiei strain Zambia genome assembly, scaffold: SMRZ_scaffold0001817
AUCCAGCCGACGAGUCCCAAAUUGGACGAAACGCGCGUCAAACUGGAU